rnacentral:rRNA from 1 species
UACGUAGGGUGCGAGCGUUGUCCGGAAUUAUUGGGCGUAAAGAGCUCGUAGGCGGUUUGUCACGUCUGCUGUGAAAUCCCGAGGCUCAACCUCGGGCCUGCAGUGGGUACGGGCAGACUGGAGUGCGGUAGGGGAGAAUGGAAUUCCUGGUGUAGCGGUGGAAUGCGCAGAUAUCAGGAGGAGCACCGAUGGCGAAGGCAGUUCUCUGGGCCGUAACUGACGCUGAGGAGCGAAAGCGUGGGGAGCGAACAGG